rnacentral:rRNA from 1 species
CAGCCGCCGCGGUAAUACGAAGGGGGCUAGCGUUGUUCGGAACUACUGGGCGUAAAGCGCACGUAGGCGGAUAUUUAAGUCAGGGGUGAAAUCCCAGAGCUCAACUCUGGAACUGCCUUUGAUACUGGGUAUCUUGAGUAUGGAAGAGGUGAGUGGAAUUCCGAGUGUAGAGGUGAAAUUCGUAGAUAUUCGGAGGAACACCAGUGGCGAAGGCGGCUCACUGGUCCAUUACUGACGCUGAGGUGCGAAAGCGUGGGGAGCAAACAGGAUUAGAUACCCGUGUAGUCCCUGUCUCUUAUAC